UAUGUUCAAAUGACUUUUAAAGGUGAAACCGCGAACGGCUCAUUACAACAGCUAUAAUUUACUUGAUCUUGAUUAUCCUACUUGGAUAACUGUGGUAAUUCUAGAGCUAAUACAUGCACCAAAGCUCCGACUYACGAACGAGCGCAUUUAUUAGACCAAAACCAAUCGGGCUUCGGCUCGUUUGUUGGUGACUCUGAAUAACUAAGCUGAUCGCACGGUCUUGCACCGGCGACGUGUCUUUCAAGUAUCUGCCUUAUCAACUUUCGAUGGUAGUUUAUGUGCCUACCAUGGUUGUAACGGGUAACGGAGAAUAAGGGUUCGACUCCGGAGAGGGAGCCUGAGAAACGGCUACCACAUCCAAGGAAGGCAGCAGGCGCGCAAAUUACCCACUCUCGGCACGAGGAGGUAGUGACGAAAAAUAACGAGACCGUUCUCUAUGAGGCCGGUUAUCGGAAUGGGUACAAUUUAAACCCUUUAACGAGGAUCUAUGAGAGGGCAAGUCUGGUGCCAGCAGCCGCGGUAAUUCCAGCUCUCAAAGUGUAUAUCGUCAUUGCUGCGGUUAAAAAGCUCGUAGUUGGAUCUGCGCCUCAGGACUCGGUCCGCCCACUGGGUGUGAACUGGGCUCCUAGGCUAAUACUGCUGGUUUUCCYUUCGUGGCCUUCACUGGUUGCGUUGGGUGGCUAGCGAGUUUACUUUGAAAAAAUUAGAGUGCUUAAAACAGGCUAUUGYCUGAAUACUCGUGCAUGGAAUAAUAGAAUAGGAYCUCGGUUCUAUUUUGUUGGUUUUCUGAACUGAGAUAAUGGUUAAGAGGGACAGACGGGGGCAUUCGUAUCGCUGCGUGAGAGGUGAAAUUCUUGGACCGCAGCGAGACGCCCUACUGCGAAAGCAUUUGCCAAGAAUGUCUUCAUUAAUCAAGAACGAAAGUCAGAGGUUCGAAGGCGAUCAGAUACCGCCCUAGUUCUGACCGUAAACGAUGCCAACUAGCGAUCCGCCGGUGGUAAAUACGCCCUGGCGGGGAGCUUCCCGGAAACGAAAGUCUUCCGGUUCCGGGGGAAGUAUGGUUGCAAAGCUGAAACUUAAAGGAAUUGACGGAAGGGCACCACCAGGAGUGGAGCCUGCGGCUUAAUUUGACUCAACACGGGAAAACUCACCCG
rnacentral:rRNA from 1 species